CUCAAGUCAAACGGGUUUGGAACAAUGUGAGGACAAAUGCCAUGAUCCGGCGAGUCUGCUGAGCUUUGACCUCAGAAACAACAUCAAUAACGUGAAACGCUGAAGGUUUGGCCCUGAUGAAGUCCAAUGACGAGAUGUCAAGCACCGCUGAAGGUUUCUGCUAUUGACGAUUCCAGAUUCCCCCUCACUCGCCCCGUUUGGAUCCGAACUCUGAGGAAAGACGCGUCGACGCGUUUGAAACUCCACAGCUGCAUUCAUUCUCUGCAAAGUGCCAACCGCGUUCUGGACGUGAGGAGAGAAAAAAAGUGGCUUUAAACAAAACAGAUGUGUCUCUACUACAGCAGUGACCUUCCAGCUUCAGUUUUGCUCUUACUGUUUUCCCUCCACAAAGCCAAACAAUCAGCUCCGCUCAGGAACUGCAGACGGACCGACUAAACGCGAAGCCGAGUGCAAGUCAUUAGCGUCCCGCUGGGCUCCGCGCAGGUCUUGAACUGACACCAAACGUCCCGACAGACCCGCGUCGAAACCGCUCAGUCUUUCCCAGACUGCAGCAAAUUCUCAAGAAACAUCAAACCAACAUUUGAGAUGCUGUGAUGUGAUUGGUCCACUGGAAUCAAAGCCAUGAUGUUGCAGACCUUCAGCAAACCACUCAUGUGAAAUAUCUCAAACGCAACAUGACCUUCCUCUUCAAAGAGCCACAAUUUAAACCAGAAGGCCUGCAAACCAGUAAAUAAACCUUCAUCUGAGGCGAAGCAAAUGCCUCUCCGACUCCCUAACCGCCGCGCGAGAGAGUUUUUAUCGGCGUUUUUCUGUAUCUACGGUGGCAGAGGGACACACACACAUGGGCCUCGUCCCGGCGCUGGAGAAUCAAGCCAAGUCUUUGAGGCCCGUGGCCACAUGAACACUCAUUUAUUUCCUCGUCCAAAGCGAGGUCUGCGGGAAGAGGAGUGCGCCACUCUCUGCCGCUCUCCCAAAAGGAAGAUUAUUUUAAAAAGAGGCCUAUCUGCUGAGCCCGCACUUUUCCUGUAUCAAACCCACCUUUCAACAGCCGGUCCCGCUUUCAACAUGCACUUUAUGAUGAGCUUUAGGCCUGUGAGAUGCAAAUGAGCCCGUGAGGAGAACCAGAACGACUCUGUGCUGUCGGGCUCCCGAUAAUCAUGACUGACGUGUGACCUGCGCUCGGAUUAGGGCUGGCCAAUACAUCCAAUAACCACCAUAUAUUUGUGAUGAUUUUAAUACUGAUAUAUAAAAUUGAGCAACCUUGUGAUUAUCUAAUGUGCAAUUUUUUUUAUUUGUCAUAAAUGUGUUAUCUAUAAAAACAGCUUUAGAGUUGGCAAGUUUGAUUCGUUACAUGAAUCAGUUCAAACCGCCUAAACCGAUCAAAUGAU